UAACCGUGGCUCAGUUCAGAUCGUAGGCUGCAACUCGCCUACGUGAAGGAGGAAUCGCUAGUAAUCGCAGGUCAGCAUACUGCGGUGAAUACGUUCCCGGGCCUUGUACACUCCGCCCGUCACACCAUGGAAGUUGGCCACGCCCGAAGCCGUUACUCCUACCCUUGUGGAGGAGGACGUCGAAGGUGGGGCUGAUGACUGGGGUGAAGUCGUAACAAGGUAUCCGUACCGGAAGGUGCGGAUGGAUCACCUCCUAACA
rnacentral:rRNA from 1 species